AUUUAAAUAGUUUAUAUAAAAUAUUAAUUUGUGGAAUUAAAGAAAUUACUAAGAAAAUUUUAGAUU
rnacentral:tRNA from 1 species